rnacentral:rRNA from 1 species
GAUGAACGCUGGCGGCGUGCCUAAUACAUGCAAGUCGAGCGAACGGACGAGAAGCUUGCUUCUCUGAUGUUAGCGGCGGACGGGUGAGUAACACGUGGAUAACCUACCUAUAAGACUGGGAUAACUUCGGGAAACCGUAGCUAAUACCGGAUAAUAUUUUGAACCUCAUGGUUCAAAAGUGAAAGACGGUCUUGCUGUCACUUAUAGAUGGAUCCGCGCUGCAUUAGCUAGUUGGUAAGGUAACGGCUUACCAAGGCAACGAUGCAUAGCCGACCUGAGAGGGUGAUCGGCCACACUGGAACUGAGACACGGUCCAGACUCCUACGGGAGGCAGCAGUAGGGAAUCUUCCGCAAUGGGCGAAAGCCUGACGGAGCAACGCCGCGUGAGUGAUGAAGGUCUUCGGAUCGUAAAACUCUGUUAUUAGGGAAGAACAUAUGUGUAAGUAACUGUGCACAUCUUGACGGUACCUAAUGAGAAAGCCACGGCUAACUACGUG